UACGUAGGGUGCGAGCGUUAAUCGGAAUUACUGGGCGUAAAGCGUGCGCAGGCGGUCUGUUAAGACCGAUGUGAAAUCCCCGGGCUUAACCUGGGAACUGCAUUGGUGACUGGCAGGCUUUGAGUGUGGCAGAGGGAGGUAGAAUUCCACGUGUAGCAGUGAAAUGCGUAGAGAUGUGGAGGAAUACGAUGGCGAAGGCCAGCCUCCUGGGCCAACACUGACGCUCAUGCACGAAAGCGUGGGGAGCAAACAGG
rnacentral:rRNA from 1 species